UUAUUACUACACGUCUCACAUAUAUAAUAGCGAGGCUCAUAAGUUCACAUCGGGUCUACAUCUACUGGAAGAUGGUUCUCGUGAGAUCUUGUUUUGCUGAGGUGUAGAGCUGCUCAAAGAGGCUCAGUGUGCUGUGCUGCCAACUAGUGUCACUGAACUACAAUGUUUGCCUAUAAAUAAUUAAUUAAAUAUAAUCUCAAAUUGAUCCAAGUAUUACCAAAUAAAAAAAUCCAGAUAUUUCACUGAAUCUAUAUUUUCUUACACCCCUAUAGUUCCUACCAAAUCGGAACCCCCGAUUGGUCAAAGUUCAACUGCUUUAACUCACAACGCACAAUCAAUAACCGUGUUUUGUACACAUAGUGAGGUGUUGUUCUUUUUAAAUCCUGUACUGUCAAUGCCCAAAGGGAAAUCAAAAAUGACAGCUAUAAGAAGGAGCCAGCACACUACAGUAGUGCCUUUCAAAGUGCCAUAAAAAAGCAUCCAUUAAACAGGAAAUUAGUUUGUAGGCUUCAUCUCUCUGCUGAAGCGAUUUCAUUGUUCAAAGGAUAUAUUUCAGUUGCUGACAUUUUGUCACCACUUGGCAUGUGGGAAGCUGAUAAUUCACACUAAAAAGCUGACUAAUUGGGCGCUGUAUCCAAAAGAUUCUGGAGGCUGCUCAGAGUUAAGAGGAUUUCAUUAAAUGAACAGAUUAUUCACUUGUAAUUUUGCUGCACACAGCUCAAAAAAAAAAAAAAAAA